UACGAAGGGGGCUAGCGUUGUUCGGAAUUACUGGGCGUAAAGGGCGCGCAGGCGGCUCUUCAAGUCAGAUGUGAAAGCCCCGGGCUCAACCUGGGAACUGCAUUUGAGACUGGAGAGCUUGAGUUCGGGAGAGGAGAGCGGAAUUCCCGGUGUAGUGGUGAAAUGCGUAGAUAUCGGGAGGAACACCAGUGGCGAAGGCGGCUUCCUGGCCUGUUCUUGACGCUGAGGCGCGAAAGCUAGGGGAGCAAACAGG
rnacentral:rRNA from 1 species